rnacentral:rRNA from 1 species
GGUCGAGUAACACGUCGAGUAACCUCGCCCCCUUCUUCUGGAUAACCGCAUGAAAGUGUGGCUAAUACGGGAUAUUCUGGGUCUGUCGCAUGACGGGCCCGGGAAAGAAUAUUGCUUCGGUGGGGGAUGGGCUCGCGGCCUAUCAGCUUGUUGGUGGGGUGAUGGCCUACCAAGGCGGUGACGGGUAGCCGGCCUGAGAGGGUGGACGGUCACACUGGGACUGAGACACGGCCCAGAACUCCUACGGGAGGCAGCAGUGGGGAAUAUUGCACAAUGGGCGCAAGCCUGAUGCAGCGACCCCGCGUGAGGGAUGGAGGCCUUCGGGUUGUAAACCUCUUUCGCCAGUGAAGCAGGCCUGCUCCUUGUGGGUGGGUUUGACGGUAGCUGGAUAAGAAGCGCCGGCUAACUACGUGCCAGCAGCCGCGGUAAUACGUAGGGCGCGAGCGUUGUCCGGAAUUAUUGGGCGUAAAGAGCUCGUAGGCGGCUGGUCGCGUCUGUCGUGAAAUCCUCUGGCUUAACUGGGGGCUUGCGGUGGGUACGGGCCGGCUUGAGUGCGGUAGGGGAGACUGGAACUCCUGGUGUAGCGGUGGAAUGCGCAGAUAUCAGGAAGAACACCGGUGGCGAAGGCGGGUCUCUGGGCCGUUACUGACGCUGAGGAGCGAAAGCGUGGGGAGCGAACAGGAUUAGAUACCCUGGUAGUCCACGCCGUAAACGUUGGGCACUAGGUGUGGGGGGCCUUUUCCGGGUCUUCCGCGCCGUAGCUAACGCAUUAAGUGCCCCGCCUGGGGAGUACGGCCGCAAGGCUAAAACUCAAAGGAAUUGACGGGGGCCCGCACAAGCGGCGGAGCAUGCGGAUUAAUUCGAUGCAACGCGAAGAACCUUACCAAGGCUUGACAUGUGCCGGUCGGCUCCGGAGACGGGGCUUCCUCCUUGUGGGGCCGGUUCACAGGUGGUGCAUGGUUGUCGUCAGCUCGUGUCGUGAGAUGUUGGGUUAAGUCCCGCAACGAGCGCAACCCUUGUCCCGUGUUGCCAGCACGUUGUGGUGGGGACUCGCGGGAGACUGCCGGGGUCAACUCGGAGGAAGGUGGGGAUGACGUCAAAUCAUCAUGCCCCUUAUGUCUUGGGCUUCACGCAUGCUACAAUGGCCGGUACAGAGGGCUGCGAUACCGUGAGGUGGAGCGAAUCCCUUAAAGCCGGUCUCAGUUCGGAUCGGUGCCUGCAACUCGACACCGUGAAGUUGGAGUCGCUAGUAAUCGCAGAUCAGCAACGCUGCGGUGAAUACGUUCUCGGGCCUUGUACACACCGCCCGUC